UACUUGUGCGCUCAGCGAAUAACAUUGCAGCAAUUAAAAUAAAUUCGCACAGCGCACACACUCUUGUGCGCUGAGCGAAUUUAGGAAGUUAAGUGGCUCUUAAAAGACGUGACANAGAAGCANAAACNANCUCCUGACACGAAAAAAAUAGAAGAACGCUNUGGAGAACUGGAGAAGACCGUCAGGAGACCCUUCAAGACAUCAAGACUUCACUUUCUGCAAGGAAUUGCUGUAAAGAGUACGUUUUAGAUGUCUAGGAGAGGCUAGUUUUUCUGUUCAUUGGAAUUGGUUGUAUGACGAUACAUUAAUGUAAAUUU
rnacentral:lncRNA from 1 species